rnacentral:rRNA from 1 species
GCCAGCUGCUAUAUCGCUCACAGCUGGCACUGCACUGAAGCUCAGCAGGUGUGAGCCUGGUCUGUACCUGGAUGGGAGACCUCCUGGGAAAGCUAAGGUUGCUGCUGGAA